GUGGCUAACAAUUCGAGCUGACCCAUGCCACUAGGUUAGUCAUAAUUGUUAUGACUAUGUCAAAUUAAGUUUAAAGAGACCUAAAUCAAAUCUUUCUAAGAAAAUAUUAAGUCUAGGUCUUCCACCAUUGUGAAUGUGUGGGCCCUUUUCGGGGUUGAUUAUUCUCGGCUGGUUACAGUGGCUCAGUUGCACCAAGAAGAUACAACCAUGUCUAUUAGAC
rnacentral:lncRNA from 1 species